UGUUUAUUUUCCCAGGCUGUAUACAGUCAAAAACCCUUAAAGCCAUUAAGCUGCUCUCUCUGCCGCUGCUCUGAGAAUUGCUGUGCUUCCAGGCUCCGGAGCAGGAUGGUCUGCCACACGCCUCCGAACACUUUCAAGCCUGGCCCCACUCCCUACGUGGUGGGAGAUCAGUUCCAACAGCCCACGUCUGAGGUGCUGUGCCCCCUACUCUCAUGGUCAUGGAAGGAAUAGAGCAGCAGGGCAAGACUGCCAUCAACCUGAUGAUGCAAUUCCUCUGGCAGCUGACAACAACAAAGGGCAAAACAACCUCUGCCAAUGAAGGAGCAUAAAA
rnacentral:lncRNA from 1 species